rnacentral:rRNA from 1 species
GACGAACGCUGGCGGCGUGCCUAAUACAUGCAAGUAGAACGCUGAAGCGAGGAGCUUGCUCUUCUUGGUUGAGUUGCGAACGGGUGAGUAACGCGUAGGUAACCUGCCUUGUAGCGGGGGAUAACUAUUGGAAACGAUAUCUAAUACCGCAUAACAAUGGAUGACACAUGUCAUUUAUUUGAAAGGGGCAAUUGCUCCACUACAAGAUGGACCUGCGUUGUAUUAGCUAGUAGGUGAGGUAAUGGCUCACCUAGGCGACGAUACAUAGCCGACCUGAGAGGGUGAUCGGCCACACUGGGACUGAGACACGGCCCAGACGCCUACGGGAGGCAGCAGUAGGGAAUCUUCGGCAAUGGGGGCAACCCUGACCGAGCAACGCCGCGUGAGUGAAGAAGGUUUUCGGAUCGUAAAGCUCUGUUGUAAGUCAAGAACGGGUGUGAGAGUGGAAAGUUCACACUGUGACGGUAGCUUACCAGAAAGGGACGGCUAACUACGUG